UACGGGGGGAGCAAGCGUUGUUCGGAUUUACUGGGCGUAAAGGGCGCGUAGGCGGCCAGCACAAGUCAGUUGUGAAAUCUCCGAGCUUAACUCGGAACGGUCAACUGAUACUGUGCGGCUAGAGUGCGGAAGGGGCAACUGGAAUUCUUGGUGUAGCGGUGAAAUGCGCAGAUAUCAGGAAGAACACCCGUGGCUAAGGCGGCUCUCUAGUACGGUACUGACGCUGAGACGCGAAAGCGUGGGGGAGCGAACAGG
rnacentral:rRNA from 1 species